AUGAGUCACAGUCGAAGUUUGGCCCGGCAGUUUUGUGAAGAUUCCUCCCCCGAAGAUGAGGAACUCAUGAUGGCUGCAAUUGUAGCAGAGGAAGAAGAAGCCCGGUUGGAUGCUCCACGACAUGGAGGUUCAUAACCAGGACGUCAAUCUCUUCAGCGUGAUUUUGCGGAACGCUUUCAGAACCUCCACAAGGACUAUUUUGCAGAAAACCCCACCUUCAAGGCAAGGAUGUUUCGCAACAGGAGUGUGUACUGUUUUUCAAUUAUAAUGGGAGUGUAA
rnacentral:rRNA from 1 species